rnacentral:rRNA from 1 species
CCCGAAGAGAUUUGGGAGUGCUCGAAGAGAACCUGCACACAGGUUGCUGCGAUGGCUGUCGUCAGCUCGUGUCGUGAGAUGUUGGGUUAAGUCCCCGCAACGAGCGCAACCCUUGCCAUUAGUUGCUACGAAAGGGCACUCUAAUGGGACUGCCGGUGACAAACCGGAGGAAGGUGGGGAUGACGUCAAGUCCUCAUGGCCCUUAUAGGUGGGGCUACACACGUCAUACAAUGGCCGGUACAGAGGGUAGCCAACCCGCGAGGGGGAGCCAAUCCCACAAAGCCGGUCGUAGUCCGGAUCGCAGUCUGCAACUCGACUGCGUGAAGUCGGAAUCGCUAGUAAUCGCGGAUCAGCAUGUCGCGGCGAAUACGUUCCCGGGUCUU